CUACGGGCUGCUGCAGUUUCGAAUAAUCCACAAUGGGGGCAACCCUGAUGGUGCAAUGCCGCGUGGGGGAUGAAGGCCUUAGGGUCGUAAACCCCUGUCACCAAGGAACAAUAAUGUAGUUCAUAGCUACAGAUGAGUUAACUCGGAGAGGAAGCAGUGGCUAACUCCGUGCCAGCAGCCGCGGUAAUACGGAGACUGCGGGCGUUACUCGGAUUCACUGGGCGUAAAGGGUGCGUAGGUUGUAAGGUAUGUCAGGUGUGAAAUCCCGGGGCUCAACUCCGGAACUGCGCCUGAAACUACCUUACUUGAGUAUAGGAGGGGAUAGCAGAAUUUCUGGUGUAGCGGUGAAAUGCGUAGAUAUCAGAAGGAAUACCAAUGGCGAAGGCAGCUAUCUGGACUAAUACUGACACUGAGGCACGAAAGCGUGGGGAGCAAAAGGGAUUAGAUACCCUCGUAGUC
rnacentral:rRNA from 1 species